AAAGUAGGCCAUCUUGUCGCUGCUUUCUGUCGAAAGGAGAGGAAAGUCCGGGCAACGCAGGACACUUUGCUUCCUAACGGGAAGAUGUUCGUGAGGGCAUAGUAACGUAACAGAAAAUGACCGCCUUGCUUGCAGGGUAAGGGUGAAAAGGUGAGGUAAGAGCUCACCGGCAUGAAUAGCAAUAUUCGUGGCCGUACGUCUCAAAGGUUGCAAGACCAUGUAUAUCACGAUCCGGCUUGCCGGUCAGGGUUGUCCGCCCUGUUGCUUGCAGUCGUGAGGGGUAGGUUGCUCAAGACAGGGGGAGACUCCUGUUUUAGAUAAAUGACAAGAACCUCGUAUGAGGCACAGAACCCGGCUUAUCGGCUUACUUUUUUU
rnacentral:RNase_P_RNA from 1 species